AACGAACGCUGGCGGCAUGCCUAACACAUGCAAGUCGAACGAGACCUUCGGGUCUAGUGGCGCACGGGUUCGUAACGCGUGGGAACCUGCCCUUAGGUUCGGAAUAACUCCCCGAAAGGGGUGCUAAUACCGGAUAAUGUCUUCGGCCCAAAGAUUUAUCGCCUUUGGAUGGGCCCGCGUUGGAUUAGCUAGUUGGUAGGGUAAAAGCCUACCAAGGCGACGAUCCAUAGCUGGUCUGAGAGGAUGAUCAGCCACACUGGGACUGAGACACGGCCCAGACUCCUACGGGAGGCAGCAGUGGGGAAUAUUGGACAAUGGGCGAAAGCCUGAUCCAGCAAUGCCGCGUGAGUGAUGAAGGCCUUAGGGUUGUAAAGCUCUUUUACCCGGGAUGAUAAUGACAGUACCGGGAGAAUAAGCUCCGGCUAACUCCGUG
rnacentral:rRNA from 1 species